GACGAACGCUGGCGGCGUGCUUAACACAUGCAAGUCGAGCGGUAAGGCUCCUUCGGGAGUACACGAGCGGCGAACGGGUGAGUAACACGUGAGCAAUCUGCCCUUCACUUUGGGAUAACUCCGGGAAACCGGUGCUAAUACCGAAUGCGACCACUUCAGGCAUCUGACGGUGGUGGAAAGUUCCGGCGGUGAAGGAUGAGCUCGCGGCCUAUCAGCUUGUUGGUGAGGUAAUGGCUCACCAAGGCUUCGACGGGUAGCCGGCCUGAGAGGGUGACCGGCCACACUGGGACUGAGACACGGCCCAGACUCCUACGGGAGGCAGCAGUGGGGAAUAUUGGACAAUGGGCGAAAGCCUGAUCCAGCAACGCCGCGUGAGGGAUGACGGCCUUCGGGUUGUAAACCUCUUUCAGCAGGGACGAAGCGAAAGUGACGGUACCUGCAAAAGAAGCACCGGCCAACUACGUG
rnacentral:rRNA from 2 species